GUAUGCUUACAGAAGUGCUCUUUGUUAAUAAAAAUAAAGGUACAGUUGGAUAGCAAAUGCAUGUGUGACAGGGAAUUAUCUUGGCUCUAUUCAAACAGGGAGGAAAGGGGAAAGGGCUUGCUCUGCCCAGCAAACUAAGUAAUUUUUACCCUACCAAUCCUGUCUAGGUAUAUUGAGUAGCUGUUCAUCCCUUUUUGCUUGCAGGGAGUAUAAUCGCCUUGAAUACUGAAGCUGAUUAUGAAAAUUACUCCUAGAUUACAUUGCAAAUGGAACAUCAUAAUUCACUUUUUAUUCUGCUUCCCAGCGUGCAGUAGGUGGUGGACAAUCCCCUCACAUGUUAGAGUAGGUUGGGGGUGGCGGUUCUCUGAAUAUGAUCCCAUCACUCUGCUCAGCAGGCAGAUAGAUCCUUUUCACACUGUAGCACAUCUCUUGUAUCUCCUUCAUUCUUUACACUUCACAUCUUCAGGUUUGGAAUUGAGCUUUUUCUAUUGCUAAAAAAGAACAAUAUAUGCAAUAAGCCAUCUGUUUCAUGCUGUUUUCUUGUAUAUCCUAAAUAUGUUUUGUGUUUCCAGAUCGCUACAUUUCGAUAAGAUCGCUGUACGUUUAAUUUUUUAUUAUUUUUAUACCACUUUUCUGAAAGAAUACCAUACAAAGCAGUGUAUAGAAUUAAAAGCAUAUUCAUUUUACUUUUGUUCCAUUUUAUGUUCCAAUUUAUUUAUUCCAUGUUUUCUUUUCUUUUUCUUUUGUUUGUAGUUGUAUCUGGUAAGUUGAAAUUUUAUUGGCCAUCUUCUAAUCAUCGUUAUCCCUGUGAAUGGAACAUCUCUCCCUCUUUCCAUCCAUACCCCUCCAUAUUCGUCAACAAAUCAGCUUCCAUCUUUCACUUAUAAUUGAUUGGACAGACUGCAAAGAGCAGAUUCUGCAUGAAGUAUGGGUAAUUUUUGUGGCAAGCAUCAAAGGUAAUGGCUUGCUUAUUUAUAUCUGUUUUAAUUAUGUUUAUUAUUUCUAAGUUGUGUGUCUGGUCCAUUCUCACCCUGAGACAUUCCAAGUGCACUAAGGUGUGCAAGUCUUUGAUAGUAAAAAAAAAAGUUGCACAUGAAUCAAAGGAGUAAAAUUUUGUUUUUGAAUCUUACACUUCAUUUUUUCAUAUCCGCUGUUCAAGAGAUUUUUUUAAAAAAUAAAUACUUUGCAUUCCUUUCUUUUUAGUGCUAAUAUUGACAACAACAGUUUGGGUUAUUAAAUUUAAAAAUUGUAGUUUAGUUGACUAAAGUUUGAAUCGGAAUUUAAGAUGUUCCAUGAGCUUGAAGGCAGACUGCAGAGGCAAACCAUAUUCAUUGUCCCUGCACCAUCCCUAGGAGAAAACUGCCUAAUCUUCUAGCUGCCUUGAAAUCUAGCAGAAAUAAAGAAUUUGUAUUUUUAAUAGCGACAACACUGUGAUGUUGCUUGAACUAUAACUGAGGGUAAUGGCUGAAGCAUAUCUGUACAUCUUUUAAGGUUUUGGUUAUGUUGAUGAAAUGUAAUGAAUUGAUCAAUUUAAAGCCUAAUGAAAUAAAAUAUUUUUCAUUAUUUUGCAGCUCUUACAAUAACAGCAGAGUGUAUCUGGGCCCAUUCCAACAGUUAUAGCCACCACUUUAUGGUGCCUGCAGCAUUAAGUAUAGCAAAAGUUAAGGAAAUAGCUGCAGCAUACAUUGCUGUGCACUUCAGAAUUCAGUAAAUGCUAAAGCACUUUGAAUUAUGAUAUAAUUACUUGUUGGAUAAUGUUAAUGGAGCUUUGGCGGUAGUAUAAAUAGUUGCUAAAUGGAUUUGUUGGCAAUUGCAUCAACAGAAAAGGCAGCCAAGUUAAUGAAUUGAGAAUGUGGAUAUUAAUCCAUACUUUCAGACAUGAAUGAAAGUGGUCGUAUGGUUUCAUCACUGUGCAUCCAAAUUGCAAUUCUACCGUAUUCUUUUAUUGCACCACCACAUUCUAAAAAUGAACAGAGGAAAACAUACACACACCCACACACCCCUACCUCUUUUGAGGUAUGCUGGAUUCACGUUGUUUAAAUUACAUUCAGUGCAGGCUUUGGAGAACUAGUAAUGUGCUCCUAAUUAAGUGUUGCUGAUGAUCAUCUGCAUGCUUGUCGGACUACUACUUAAACAUAAAGCUUUAAUGAAAUAAGCUAAAUGAAAGUAUCAUCAUGACAGAAGAUAAGUGUAAAAAAUUGUGCAUGGAGAGGCAAAUUCUCUUUUAAAGUCAUCCAAGUUAGUGGCCAUUGCUGCCUUCUGUGGUGUAACUAUGUGCUGUGUGAAGAAGCAAUUUAUUUCAUCCAGCAAAUGAUGUUCAUGAGUUCUGCUUAUGAGAGAGAGAGAGAGAGAGAGAGAGAGAGAGAGAGAGAGAGAGAAACUUCUCUCCAUCCACUUUCAAAGUGACUUACGGUAUCUCUGAGUAGACAUGCGUACAAUUGUAUUGUUAACAAUACUGUGAAUUUUUAAUGAGUGCCAGGACGUCAGCUCCUGCACAGCAGCAGGCAUGCUUAAAUCUAUUUGCAAAGAUUUCACAUUUGCCUUUUGUGGGAGGGGGAGAGGGAAUUCUUUAACAUUUACCCACAUUUAUUGUGCUGUAAUAUUUACAUAAAGUAACUUAUAGGGAGCUCCUGAUCUCAGAUGAAGCCACCACAGGAAAGAUGCAUCCUGGCUAGUGAUAAAGGAAGGGAAAACUAUGGCGAUACCAAAGACAAAAACAAAGGAAGGGAAAACAGCAGCUCUUUAGGGCCAUAGGAAUUUGUAUUUUCUGGUGUCC